rnacentral:ribozyme from 14 species
CAAAUGGAAUGCGAAUGAUUAAAAUGGAAAAAUCAAUCCCCAAUGGAUUGAAUAGAAAUAUCAAUUGUGCUUGUUUUGUUGGUUUUUGUUUUUCUUUGUUUUCAAUACUAAUCUUUCUCAUCCUACU